ensembl:lncRNA
ACCUCACCCCAAACUCGUUUCCCCUCCUACCGCUCCAGGGGCAUGCGUCCGUGGCUACCGCCAACCACAGUGAGGUGAGCUGCAGCAAGGCGAACCGAACCGCAGUACUGCAGACUCCAGCUUCCAGCAGGCGGCAGCUGGCUCUCCCGUCUUCUACUCCUCUAAGCCCAGCACCGAGGAGCACAGCCGACAGACACAGAAAAGCCUAGAAUGGAGUGCCUGCCCAACAGAGCCAUUUAUAUACUGAGGUUAUGCACAGAGGUUCCUGAACUACACAGUCUCAUUGGAUGAAAACAAGUCUGAGGCCAGCCAAUCAGAGCAUGAAAAUAAAACCCAAUCAGAGUAGGCCUAAAGGUUUCCUCUCAUCCAAUCAGAACAUGUAGUCCAGGAACCAUGGGCAAAACCUCAGUAUAUAAGGCAUGCUGAGGCUGCCUCACGCUGUUCCAGGCUCUUGUGUAUCUUCUAGCGGAGCCACUGUGUUCACGGCUUAGAGGAACAGGAGAAGGGGCGGCAGAGCCACCUACUGCACGCUGGAGGCUGCAGCCUGCUGUACCGCGGCUGGCCUCGCUGCAGUGGGUGGUGGUGACGGAAACUGCAGCGGCUGGAGCGGUACCUGGCCAAUGACGUGGAGGAGGUUGAUGAGGCCCCCAAACAAGCCAUCUUCCACUUCCUGUAUGGGAAGAACCGCUUCCAGUGACCCUUGUUCCAGAAGCUUCGGUUCCAGUUCUUCUGUUCCAUGCACUGGAGAGCUUGUGUUUCCCCAGAGGAGUUGGAGAAGAACACUGGACCCAGGGAAGAUGUGGAUUUUCAGCAGGAAGUUUAUUCCAAUGUUAAUGGCAGACACCAGGAAGGAAGAGAGGAACCAUUUGUGCAGAUCAUCUGGAAGAACCUAGAAGAACCUGGACUGUUCUAGAAGGAGCCGAAUAGAGUGAUUAUGCUGCCCUCCUAGGAGUGGUGGGUAGGGGGUACUUCUGGGCAUCCUUGGAGGACAGUGAGAAACCAGCGGUGUUUCUUGUUCCACCCCUUCCUGCAGCACCACCUCCCUUUUUAGAUUGCUGAAUUCUACCUCCCUGGGGUGGAACCUGGAGGUCCUGCUUCCUAUGGACUUGGUUGCCACAGUCCGGGAGCAUUUGAAGGCACAGUGCAGGUGCUCAGAUUGGCACAGAAUUAUUUGUAAAAUAUGAGUGCCACAGGAUUGUAACAGAUAGCUUCAUGCAUACUAUGCAUUUUGUUGGUUUGUUUGGAAAACGUCGGCCAUUGAAUUAUUAGUACAUUUAUUUCAGAUAGUUUGGAAAUUUUUAUACUUUUGAAGACAUGCUGCUCCUGUAGAGAUUUUUGAUGACAGUUAUAGCUGUUACAUAUACAUAAAUAUAAUUUUCUUUCCAUUUUUAAGAAGGUAUUUUGUUUAUCCUAAAUCUUUUAUUAUCUGUUAUUAUAUGUGCUCCUGAAGUGAACACUCUUUUUAUCUAUGAUGCUUAUGUAAUCUAUUAUAUCAUAUCUAUGUGGUAGUUCUCGUAAAUUCUUGUACUAGGAAUUUUUAUUUGCUGUUUCAUGUUUGUUACUGAAUUGUGAGAAUCCAGUUGUGAUUUUUAACAUAUCUUAGGUAUAUGUUAAUAGGUCUAAUAUAUACUAUACAUUUUAUUGGUUUAUUUUGAAAAAGGUGGGCAUAGAAUUCUUUUUUUUUUUUUUUUUUUUUUUUUUUUUUGAGAUGGAGUUUCGCUCUGGUUACCCAAGCUGGAGUGCAAUGGUGCGAUCUCGGCUCACUGCAACCUCCACCUCCUGGGUUCAGGCAAUUCUCCUGCCUCAGCCUCCCGAGUAGCCGGGAUUACAGGCACACGCCACCAUGCCCAGCUAAUUUUUUGUAUUUUUAGUAGAGAUGGGGUUUCACCAUGUUGACCAGGAUGGUCUCGAUCUCCUGACCUCGUGAUCCACCCACCUCGGCCUCCCAAAGUGCUGGGAUUAUAGGCUUGAGCCACUGCACCCAGCCCCUAGAAUUCUUACUGUAUUUAUUUUAAAUAGUUUGGAAAUCCUGGUAUUUUGAAAAGACAUUGUUCCUAUAGAGUUGUGUGAUGAGUGUUAUAGCUGUUAUAUACACAUAAAUAUAAUUUUGUUUUUCUUUUAAGAGAGGAUUAUUUUUAUCCUAAGUAUUUUAUCUUUAAAUCUUUGUAUGUAUUA